GACGAGCCUCACAAACGUUAUUCGGAAUUACUGGGCUUAAAGGGUGCGUAGGCGGCGCGGAAAGUUGGGUGUGAAAUCCCUCGGCUCAACCGAGGAACGGCGCUCAAAACUACCGUGCUAGAGGGAGAUAGAGGAGUGCGGAACUUAGGGUGGAGCGGUGAAAUGCGUUGAUAUCCUAGGGAACACCGGUGGCGAAAGCGGCACUCUGGAUCUCUUCUGACGCUGAGGCACGAAAGCUAGGGUAGCAAACGGG
rnacentral:rRNA from 1 species